rnacentral:misc_RNA from 1 species
AGAGAAUGAAUUUUUUUUUUUUUUGGGUUCUGAACGAGAGAAUGAAUUUUAAUGGUUAUAAGGCAUUCGAAAGGAAUAAACAUCAUAUCUCCUGUUCUGGUAUGUUCUACAUUUAGAAGGAUCCACUGUGAAUUGAAUAAUUAAUAUUCCUAUUCACAUUCAAAAUGAGCAUUGUUCCUUUUCUUCCUGGAUAGCCUGAUGGUUUCUCUGCAUUAUUCUUGUAAAUUAUGAACUUAAUUUGCGUAUAUUUUAUAAUUGUAUUAGGCAGCUACUGCUAAUGACUGGGGAUACUGAAAUGAAUAAAGUUG